rnacentral:Y_RNA from 1 species
GGGUGGUCCGAUGUUAGUGAGUUAUCUCACCUGAUUGUCCAUAGUCAGUUACAGAUUGAACUCCUUAUUCUACUCUUUCCCCCCUUCUCACUACUGCACUUGACUCGUCUUUU